GAAACUUCCUGCCACCACACCCAUUCUCCAUGACUCUUUAGUGUAUUUCGGAGGUAAGAGAUUCCAUUGCAGAGUAGUAUGCAGCCUUGCUUGAGUUACAAAAGUAAAGGUGACUUGAGAAUAGAAAUGACACAUGGCACGGCCAAAGUACCAGUUAUUGGUACUGCUUUGUUUAGUGUUGGCAACUAUAUGCGUACUGGGGUAUAAUGUCCAGCUAGAAGCCAGUGAAGCUAUGGCCUUUUGUCUGGGCUCAUUCAUCCAAAAAUCUAAUGAGGAGUAUCUCUACAAAGUUCUUAACUUCAAGUACAAACUGCUUCAGAUCAUGAUUUAGAAAGGAAUUCAUCUUGAAUGCACGGAUCAGACUAACCAAUUGCAAAAAGGGAGAGGUGCAGAAAGAUAGUUCCUCUGUCUGGCACUGAUAAAGCAAUGGUGAAAAUGAAGGUAAAGUGUUUAUCACUGCAAAGAUUACUCAAUUAUAAUAGCACCAGACUAACACAGUAAUAGCCUAUAGGACAACAUAAAUAACAAUAGGUAACACUUAACUUUGCACCCAGCAUCAUAACACGUUAUGACACGGUCAUAACCAUGUCAUAACAGCUGACAUAACUUGUCCUAAACUGUCAUAAUAUGGUCAAAACACUGUCAGGACACAUAUAUUGAAAUCUGUUGUGACAUAUAUUGCGUUGUUUCAUGACUGGUUAUGACACUUCCUUAAGAGUGUUAAAACCCACAAAACCUGCCACAGUAGUUAUUUUAUGGCUGCUUAUGACACCUACAUAAAGGUUUCAAAACUCACUAAACCUACCACACAAGACAAAACAUGCCAUUUACAUUUUACAUUUGAGUCAUUUAGCAGACGCUCUGAUUCAGAGCGACUUCCAUUAAACCAUAGCCUACUUUUCAAUAUUAUGUUUAUGUUAUGUAACAUUUACUGAAAUUGACCAUGUUCAUUUAUUUUUGUAAUUGCGCACAAAUUGAUGUCAGACAUGCACCGACCCCAAUGCUCUGCUGCUGAUGACUGGGAUGAAUGCAGGAGAAGAUUUCAGAAGCAGGACAAGACCUCCUUUUUUUUGACUGAUGACUGACAUAACGGCAUGUAUGUGAUAGGCCUAUAUGAUUAUGAUGGUCAUAAUGCUUCUUGACAGUAUCAUAAAGUGCAUUUUCUUAGUCCAAGUAAAGUGGCACAGGAUGGUCAUAAUGCUUCAUGACAGUGUCAUAAAGUGUAUUUUCUACAAGUUAUUUAAAAUAUGAUGAGAAAAAAAAACAAGACUUUAAAGAAUUCAUGACAACAACAACGGACUUAAGAAACACAUUUUCAAAUGAAAGGAAACUUCUUGACGGGGAAAAAAGACAUUUGAUUAAAUGUGGGUUUUCACACUCUUAUGUAGGUGUCAUCUCCAAACAUAAAAUAACGCAAUAUAUGUCACAACAGGUGUAAAUAUAUGGGUUAUGACAGUGUUAUGACCAUAAUAUGAGAGGUUAUGACAAGUUAUGUUAGCUGUUAUGACAUAUUAUGACAGGGUUAUGACUGUCAUAACGUGUUAUGAAGCUGGGUGUCAAGGAAAGUGUUAGUAUGAAAGAAUUAUGUUUUGUGCAGUUGAACAUUCUGUUAUUCUUUCUAAGGAAACCUAUUUAUUCUGUUUCAAAUGUUGGGGUGCCGCUUUGUAGUGUUGCUAUACAAGAGCAAAAUGGUGUUGACCCAGAAUGUUUGCAAACCAAUGUAAAAUGAGUCCCUGAAGCAUCAAAAUGUCUAGUCAUUCUCUGGUGACUGGUCUGAAUUUGAUUGUAGCCUAGCUAAACUACUAUUAUUGUGUAAAUGUCAUUAAAUGCCAUAGUUUGGGUCUUGGGACUACAAAUUAUUUAAUGUUCUAGAUUAUUGAAAACAAAUCUCUAUGAAUACAUUUGGUUACGCUUUUUUUGUGUCAAAGGGUCAUUUUGUGAGAGGGGAGCCCAGGCCUGAAAGGAACCCCUGGCACCAUUUUGCUUUGACCUUUAGUGUUCAGUGAUUGCAGAUCUGUAAAACCCAGAAAGGUGUAAGCAAUAAGGCGUUGUCUCCCCGAAUCUUGUGAUAUUACCAUAUUGCUUGCGCCUAUCCCGUUUUAAUAGAUGUGCAAACGCCAAGAGGUUAGGACAUUGGAGGUGGUGACAAAAUAGUGUUCGGACCGGUCCAAAGAGACACAGCUCCCACCGGAGGAUGCUGUGUCCUGACAUUCCGUCGUCGCAUACACUCAUUCAUCA
rnacentral:lncRNA from 1 species